GCCGCCGUAGCUCAGUGGAUAGAGCGCUGGUCUUCGGAAUCAGGCGUCGCGGGUUCGAAUCCUGCCGGCGGUG
rnacentral:tRNA from 1 species